CCUUAAAAAUCAGCUAGUUCCAACCUUCCUGCCAUGGGCAGGGAUACUUUUCACUGGACCAGAUUGUUCAGAGCUCCAUCCACUCU